rnacentral:pre_miRNA from 10 species
CCCUGUGAGCAUCUUACCGGACAGUGCUGGAUUUCCCAGCUUGACUCUAACACUGUCUGGUAACGAUGUUCAAAGGU